AUUAAAUUAGUUUAAGUAAAAAAUUUAAAGUUGUGGGCUUUAAGAUAGAGUGUAUCUUUUUAAUA
rnacentral:tRNA from 1 species